ACUUGGAUAUCUGAAGUAAAAGUCAUUUUCUAUGUCACUUGUUGCAUUGCGUGUCUUCAUAAAUUCUGCCCAGUUAGGACCAGCUUCAUGGUUGUACCGUACAAAAACUCCAAAUAGAAUGAUCAUAGCAAUUUCCCAUAUGAAGCAAAUUAUGGGUAGUUUAAAUCGCAUUAAGGUAUUUUUCAUCAUCUUGGCUGCUUUCUACUAGCUCCUAAGACAAUGUAAACUGAGAUACAGGCUGCAUUCACCUGUAAGCCCUGCUCUAUUCUUACAGGUAAACGUGAUGAAAAUUCCAAAGCUUCACAGUGACAUUUGAAACAAAUUGCUCCAUUCUAUAUAGCGGAGUUCAGGAGGUGUGUCU